GACGAAGGAUGCAAGCGUUAUCCGGAUUCAUUGGGUUUAAAGGGAGCGUAGGCGGUCUUAUAAGUCAGUGGUGAAAUCUCCUCGCUUAACGAGGAAAUUGCCAUUGAUACUGUAGGACUUGAGUACAGUUGCCGUUGGCGGAAUAUGACAUGUAGUGGUGAAAUACAUAGAGAUGUCAUAGAACACCGAUUGCGAAGGCAGCUAACGAAGCUGUAACUGACGCUGAGGCUCGAAAGUGCGGGGAUCAAACAGG
rnacentral:rRNA from 1 species